GUGGGGCUGUGUUAAGGAUUACAGAUGGUACAAGUAUGAUACUUCACUCUGUUAUGUGCUACCUAAGAGAUAUAUGCUACUAUCAUCCAAUAACACUUUAGUUGAAUUAAGUGGCCAGAUUGCACCUGACAGGGAACAGGGGAUAGCCCCCUCCCCAAGACUGUCUGGGACUGUUUGUUCUACUGGUCCCUUACUUUUGAGCCCUUCUGAUUGCCCUGGAAACCUGCUCUGAGUGUAGUUCUCCUCUUAGCUCUCAUGGUUCUCAGUUGGCUCAGGUGUGAGCCUAGACUUAGCUGAGGUGGGAGAUCCCUUGAACUGGAUACUUGCCAUUUAGUGAGACCCUGUGUCCUGCCCUCACAUGCUCUUCCUCUUGGCUCUUAACCUUCACUUUGGCUCCUGGCCCUGAAUGUGGCAUAGGUAAGAGCUGCUGCUUAUCUUUGAACCCUUAAUUCAAGUGGGUCAUUCCGGGCUUGCUGGUCCUGACCAUCUGGACAUGUCAGGGUUGCCUGAUGCUGAUCUGGUGACUGGUCUUGCCAGUUCCCUCCUCUGACUCUCAGAUCUAGUUCAGCCCUGGAGUCCUGACAGGACCAAGCUGAAGAGCUCUGAACCUGUUCUAGGAUACAGAGCACCUAGCUUGAGCCAGCACUUGAGCCUUGAAGUUUUUUCUGGGAGGAAGUCAGAGGGCAAGGGAGAGUAGAAAGUGAAUCUGGGGAGAAAACGAAGAAUGAAGAAGUAGAGGACAGUCACUUUGUGAUAUAAUACCCAUCCUUAUCCUCAGGAUGAAUAAUGGUCAUUCCAGCUACCAUUAAAACACCACUUCUUAGACUGAAAGAAUAACAGAGUGGUCACUAAAAGCUUAAGGUUUUAGACCUGAGCUUGAAACCUGGCUCUGUCACUAGCUAGUUCGGACAAGUUGCACUGUCUUUCUGAGCUUCAGGUUUCUUAGUUGUACAAUGCUGUCAGGAACAGUACCUUCCUCCUAGGGCUGUUGGGAGCAUUAAAUGAGAUGAUGGAUGGAAAGCACUUGGCACAGUUCCUAGCACACAGUAGGCAGUCUAUAAAAUGGUGAGUAUGAUGACAAAUUUGUUCUUUGAUCCCUGCACUGGUGGCUACUCAGGGUUGUCAGGAGUAUCUGAUAUGAUAGUGAAUUUGGAAGUGUUUAGGAGCCUGGAGAGUAUGAUGUCAAUACAGAGCGCUGAAAUAAAUAG
rnacentral:lncRNA from 1 species